rnacentral:rRNA from 1 species
AUUGAACGCUGGCGGCAGGCCUAACACAUGCAAGUCGAGCGGAUCGGCGGAGGGGUGAGUAAUGCCUAGGAAUCUGCCUGGUAGUGGGGGAUGACGUCCGGUAACGGGCGCUAAUACCGCAUCCUAUCGCAUGAGCCUGGGUCGGAUUAGCUAGUUGGUGGGGUAAAGGCCUACCAAGGCGACGAUCCGUAACUGGUCUGAGAGGAUGAUCAGUCACACUGGAACUGAGACACGGUCCAGACUCCUACGGGAGGCAGCAGUGGGGAAUAUUGGACAAUGGGCGAAAGCCUGAUCCAGCCAUGCCGCGUGUGUGAAGAAGGUCUUCGGGUUGUAAAGCACUUUAAGUUGGGAGGCGUUACCAACAGAAUAAGCACCGGCUAACUCCGUGCCAGCAGCCGCGGUAAUAC